rnacentral:rRNA from 3 species
AAAUUGAAGAGUUUGAUCAUGGCUCAGAUUGAACGCUGGCGGCAGGCCUAACACAUGCAAGUCGAACGGUAACAGGAAGCAGCUUGCUGCUUCGCUGACGAGUGGCGGACGGGUGAGUAAUGUCUGGGAAACUGCCUGAUGGAGGGGGAUAACUACUGGAAACGGUGGCUAAUACCGCAUAACGUCGCAAGACCAAAGAGGGGGACCUUCGGGCCUCUUGCCAUCAGAUGUGCCCAGAUGGGAUUAGCUUGUUGGUGAGGUAACGGCUCACC